rnacentral:rRNA from 1 species
GAGUUUGAUCCUGGCUCAGGAUGAACGCUGGCGGCGUGCUUAACACAUGCAAGUCGAGCGAAGCGGCUGAAUUGAUUCUUCGGAUGAUUUUCAGUUGACUGGGCGGCGGACGGGUGAGUAACGCGUGGGUAACCUGCCUUAUACAGGGGGAUAACAGUCAGAAAUGGCUGCUAAUACCGCAUAAGCGCACAGAGCUGCAUGGCUCAGUGUGAAAAACUCCGGUGGUAUAAGAUGGACUCGCGUCCAAUUAGCUAGUUGGUGAGGUAACGGCCCACCAAGGCGACGAUUGGUAGCCGGACUGAGAGGUUGAACGGCCACAUUGGGACUGAGACACGGCCCAGACUCCUACGGGAGGCAGCAGUGGGGGAUAUUGCACAAUGGGGGAAACCCUGAUGCAGCGACGCCGCGUGGAGGAAGAAGGUCUUCGGAUUGUAAACUCCUGUCGUUAGGGACGAUAAUGACGGUACCUAACAAGAAAGCACCGGCUAACUACGUGCCAGCCGCCGCGGUAAUUC